rnacentral:misc_RNA from 1 species
GAAUGGCAGGGCGUGAAUUCCGACAUUGGAGAAGGAAAAGGGGAAGGAAUGGACAUAAUUUAAUUGGGAAGAGAUAGAGAUAAGAAGAGUAUUGAUUGAGAAAAAGGAUAAUGUUGUGAAGGAAAGAAGGAAGGAAGAAUGAGCAGUUUUAGUUUAAAUGCUGGAAUGAAAUUGUCAUGGCCGAUAGGAGACGUAAGUAGGCAACAGAUACAGAUGGGAAAUGUUAAAAUUAUGGCGUGUGUUUCUGAUGGUUCUACUCACAGUCAGAGUUCCUUCCUUUCCCGUAGCCAGACCUAUGCUCUUUUGAAACAGCAAAUGGAUGUGGCCGCCAAAUCUGAGGACUACAAAGAGGCUGCCAGACUUCGUGAUUCUUUGAAAAUAUUUGAGGACCAAGAGCCUGUUUUGCGCCUUCACAGAUUGGUCAAAGAGGCUAUUGCACAAGAGAGGUUUGAGGAUGCAGCCAGGUACCGCGAUGAGUUAAAGGAUAUUGCUCCCCACUCUCUCUUGAAAUGCUCAAGUGAGGCAACAACACUCGGAAUCAGGGUUCAAGUUAGAAGUGUGUACAUCGAAGGUCGAAGUCAACCUUCAAAAGGCCUUUAUUUUUUUGCUUAUAGAAUAAGAAUUACCAACAACUCAGAUCGUCCUGUUCAACUUCUUAGAAGGCACUGGAUCAUCACUGAUGCGAAUGGAAAAACGGAAAAUGUCUGGGGAAUUGGUGUAAUUGGUGAACAACCAGUGGUACUUCCCAACACUACUUUUGAAUACUCAUCUGCAUGCCCAUUAGGAACUCCAAGUGGAAGAAUGGAGGGUGACUUCGAGAUGAAGCAUAUUGACAAAGUAGGCUCACGGACAUUCAAUGUUUCCAUCGCUCCUUUCUCUCUCUCCAAAGUUGUAGAUGGCAGUGAUACCUUUUCCGAUGGGAGCUGAGAAUAUUUUGAAGCAUGCAUUUGUACAUUUUUAUAUAAAAUUUUAGGCUAAGGUUGUGUUUUAGUUGCUGGCAGAUAAUAAACUCAUUGGGUGCAUUCGAUAAAUGUUAUCGCUUGAUGUAAUAUAUUCCUUCGAUAAACCGUAUGAAACAUAGGGAUCUCAUGCAUUCUUUUACAUCGAACAUAUCUAU